rnacentral:rRNA from 1 species
AGUCACUGACAUUAGAUACCCGGGUAGUCCCAGCCAUAAACUAUGCGCGUUAGGUGUAUCGGUGACCACGAGUCACCGAGGUGCCGAAGGGAAACCGUGAAACGUGCCGCCUGGGAAGUACGGUCGCAAGGCUGAAACUUAAAGGAAUUGGCGGGGGAGCACAACAACGGGUGGAGCCUGCGGUUUAAUUGGACUCAACGCCGGACAACUCACCGGGAACGACAGCAAUAUGUAGGCCAGGCUGAAGACCUUGCCUGAAUCGCUG